rnacentral:rRNA from 1 species
GACGAACGCUGGCGGCGUGCUUAACACAUGCAAGUCGAACGGUGAAGCGCCUUCCUUUUUGGUGGGUGUGGAUGAGUGGCGAACGGGUGAGUAACACGUGAGUAACCUGCCCCCUUCUUCUGGAUAACCGCAUGAAAGUGUGGCUAAUACGGGAUAUUCUGGGUCUGUCGCAUGAUGGGUCUGGGAAAGAUAUUGUUUCGGUGUGGGAUGGGCUCGCGGCCUAUCAGCUUGUUGGUGGGGUGAUGGCCUACCAAGGCGGUGACGGGUAGCCGGCCUGAGAGGGUGGACGGUCACACUGGGACUGAGACACGGCCCAGACUCCUAAGGGAGGCAGCAGUGGGGAAUAUUGCACAAUGGGCGCAAGCCUGAUGCAGCGACGCCGCGUGAGGGAUGGAGGCCUUCGGGUUGUGAACCUCUUUCGCCAGUGAAGCAGGCCUGCCUCGUUUGUGGGUGGGUUGACGGUAGCUGGAUAAGAAGCGCCGGCUAACUACGUG